UGCCCGCUGGUCCUCAGCACCCGCGGCCUCCCCGCCGCUGGCUCCCGCCCUGCCCACGCUCAGAUGUUUGGGGACUGUGGUCCCCCUGGGGUGGCAGGACGCACUUCCGGGGACGCGGAGCCCUUAUCAGCGGAUUAAUUCGCUAACAAUGGAUCGCUCCCUCGCGGCCCGUCCUCCGUCAGCCGCCCUCCGCUUCCCCGUCACCCGUUUCCUUUCUUGCCAUCUUUUUCUAAUUCUUCUCCCAGCUGCCGCCCGGCCUCUUGCAAAUGGCUCUUUAAACGUGGAGGCCCAGCCUGGCGCGGUGGCACCCGCCCGUCAGCUCGGCCCUUGGGGCGCCGGGGCCGGAGGAUGGCCGGGAGUUCUAGGCCAGCUUGGGCUGCAGGAGUGAGAACUUACAUCCAAGGAGGGAGAGAGGGGCGAGUCGUGGUGGGGAGCCCGCCGAGGACGCUGGGGUUCGGGUGACCCUUGGCUAGGCAGAAGAAGCGCCCCGGGCUGCGUGUGCGCACAAGGGUCUCAUGUAGCCCAGGCUGGCCUCCGAUUCCCUCUCUAGUCAAGGAUGGGCCUUGAACGGAUUUGUCUGUCUUCUCGGAGGCUGAGGGGAGAGAGGACGGGCACGCGCCGCCUCGCCUGCUGUAUUUAAUGCUGGCCAUGGAACCCGGGGCUUCGUGCAUGCUGGACAAGCUCUACAGCAGCCGGGCUUCUGUGGUUUCUCCCGCUUCUAAGGGGAAGAUCCCAGGAAAGCCCACAAGUGUGAGACCUUGGUAACGGGUCCUCAUGGCAACGUGAGGAAUGAAACCAAGAUUUCAGCUUUUCUCAGAGACAGCUGGGGAGCCUCGUCUCCUCCACAAUUCAUUUAAUAUAUAUAUAUAUAUAUAUAUAUUUUUUUUUUAUUUUGCCUCCGCCUAGCAAGAAGGGAGUCCCGCCCGGGAACCCCCAGAACAGCCGUGCGUCAGGCCCGGACCUGGGGUGUUCUGUGCACCCUCGUAACUCUAAAAACUCAAGAAAAUCAGGAGACUCAGUCACCCCGUGUGCAAAUCCAGGGGUCUAAGCAGAUUCCACCCUAAAAUCGAGGAUACCCUUACAGGGUACAGCCGUAGACUGGGGACGGCUGCCCUCUGCUGGACACAAUGGGGACUGCAGGGCGAUGGGCGAAGCGGGUGGGCAGCAGGCGUCCGGGCUCGCACAAUAAAUAAAUACAGGUGAGAUUUAAA